rnacentral:rRNA from 1 species
CGUGGGGAACCUGCCCCAUAGUCUGGGAUACCACUUGGAAACAGGUGCUAAUACCGGAUAAGAAAGCAGAUCGCAUGAUCAGCUUUUAAAAGGCGGCGUAAGCUGUCGCUAUGGGAUGGCCCCGCGGUGCAUUAGCUAGUUGGUAAGGUAAAGGCUUACCAAGGCGAUGAUGCAUAGCCGAGUUGAGAGACUGAUCGGCCACAUUGGGACUGAGACACGGCCCAAACUCCUACGGGAGGGCAGCAGAC